UACGAAGGGGGCUAGCGUUGCUCGGAAUUCACUGGGCGUAAAGGGUGCGUAGGCGGGUCUUUAAGUCAGGGGUGAAAUCCUGGAGCUCAACGUCCAAGCAACUGCCUUUGAUACUGAAGAUCUUGAGUUCGGGAGAGGUGAGUGGAACUGCGAGUGUAGAGGUGAAAUUCGUAGAUAUUCGCAAGAACACCAGUGGCGAAGGCGGCUCACUGGCCCGAUACGUGACGGCUG
rnacentral:rRNA from 1 species